AACGAACGCUGGCGGCAUGCCUAACACAUGCAAGUCGAACGAGACCUUCGGGUCUAGUGGCGCACGGGUGCGUAACGCGUGGGAAUCUGCCCUUGGGUUCGGAAUAACAGCGAGAAAUUGCUGCUAAUACCGGAUGAUGACGUAAGUCCAAAGAUUUAUCGCCAAAGGAUUGGCCCGCGUCCGAUUAGCUAGUUGGUGAGGUAACGGCUCACCAAGGCUACGAUCGGUAGCUGGUCUGAGAGGAUGAUCAGCCACAUUGGGACUGAGACACGGCCCAAACUCCUACGGGAGGCAGCAGUGGGGAAUAUUGGACAAUGGGCGCAAGCCUGAUCCAGCCAUGCCGCGUGAGUGAUGAAGGCCUUAGGGUUGUAAAGCUCUUUUGUCCGGGAAGAUAAUGACUGUACCGGAAGAAUAAGCCCCGGCUAACUUCGUGCCAGCAGCCGCGGUAAU
rnacentral:rRNA from 1 species